CGUAUUUCGAAAACCAUGAGUAAUUACUUGCUGCUGGACUCUCAUUUUCCCCAAAUGCAUAUGUUAUUCUACAAAUUAUGAUACUCGUUACUAGAUUGUGUGUAUGUGUUUAAUGUGCGUUUGCGAAUCGAUUUUGUUUAUCUUUCUUACAAUAAUCGACGCUGCUUAAAUCGAUCGGCCCUUUUUCGGCACAAGUUUCAUGAAUUUUGAAUGAGAUUUGUAGGUCAAAUUGUGUUUUGGCGAGGAGAUCCGUGAUGUUCCAUGAUCUACGGUCGGCGGCGAAUUUGAGGUGCUCAACUACUAAAAUUCAUCUUCAAAUGUUUAUACGAAUGUGCAAUUGAUUAGUGAAAUGAUUAAUUGCAAUGAAUUGAUUAGUUUGAAGUAGAUUUGACAUCUGAGUUGCGUAUGUCGAUGAACUCUCGAUUGCCUUAUGAGCUAGGUAAUGAGUUUUAAUUAGUGUUGAUGAAGGUAGAAUUUGACAGGUUGAAAUCAGAAUCCAAAGUAUAAUAUUUUUAUAAUACUAUGUAAUAUUGAUAUCUUAAUAAGCACAAGGAAGCAUGAAAUAUGGAGUAUUUCACAAAUCCAAAUCUGCAUAAAUAAACUGCAGAAAAUGAUGAUGUUUGAGAGUUCUAAUUCUUUUCUAGGAAGUUCAGUGAAUUAUAGAAUGCUAUUAUUCUUGGGGCCUAGUAUGCAAGGGAGGUUGUUUAUUCCUACUCCAUAAUAUAAUUCCAUCUGAUCCAGAUUGAAUAAGGCACAACACAUUGUAUGUUGUUGUGGAGCUUCAUUGUUCGAAUUUCAAAAUGCCUAUUUUGAGUUAUGUUACAUGAACCUUCUGAAGAGGUUCAUGCAAAUGAUCUGUUUGCAUAGAGAAACUCAAGAUAUUUUCUUCCCCACAGCUGAUAAUAUGGAACUGAGAUUUCUGCUGCAAAACACUCUUGCUUUACACAAGUAGAUUUAUAAAGAAUCCUAUCUUCCUUUACUAGAACAAGAUCCGUUGCUUCGUCUAGUGCAAACUAGAAACUUAAACAAUAGCGAUUUAUAGGAUGAAGUGUUUUUAGGUAUCGGCGUCUAAGGGAAUAGGUGAGUUCAGUUUCUAUAGGAAAAUCUAUAUAAAGAUGAAAUACUUUGCAUGCUGUGUUGAAAUUCAUCUUCAUGUGCAACCUUUUCUCUUAUUAACUAUGUAAAGAUGAUGGGAUGGAGCAGUUUCAAAUGAAUCAGAUACUACUUCCAUGAAUUUGAAAAAUAUGUAUUACCUUUACUUGCAAAUCAUUCUUUUUCUUUUAUGGAGUGAGAACUGGUUCAUUGAUACAGUGACUGGGGAUCAUAUCAAGUGAUCAAAUGCAUAUCAGAGCAACACGUAGAGUAAUCUUUCAACUUUUUUUAUAGCCUAAUUUACCUUUAUCAGACUGACAAAUAAGUUUGUUUAGUGUAGUUAAAUGGUGAGUGACUGGACUUCAACUAUCUUUAUCACAGGGUUGGAGUUUCGUAGCCAAUCUGCUCUCUGUAAAAUAAUGUUUUUUAUCCUCUGCUUAUUCGCUAUCAUAGUUGGAAGAUAUGGAAUUAAAUCUUCUAUCUGAAACUCUCUCUCUUCAGGGCUCGUGUGCUUUGCCACCUGAUUUAUACCAUGUCACUUCAAGGAUAAGUUGGGAGUUUUGUUAAUAUAAUUGCUGACAAUUGACCAGAACCAGAAGUUGUCCACAUGGCAAGAGGUGCUUUGUUGAAAUACUCCAUUAUUUAAAAAACCAAUCUAUCUAACCAAGGCAUAAUUAUUAUCUUAAUUUCUGUAUUUAUUAGAGUUUCUAAUUGCCAAGACUCCACUUAACGGAUUUUGAGAAUGGAUAACCUUAGUUUUUCUA